GAUGAACGCUGGCGGCGUGCCUAAUACAUGCAAGUCGAGCGAACAGACGAGGAGCUUGCUCCUUUGACGUUAGCGGCGGACGGGUGAGUAACACGUAGGUAACCUACCUAUAAGACUGGGAUAACUUCGGGAAACCGGAGCUAAUACCGGAUAAUAUUUCGAACCGCAUGGUUCGAUAGUGAAAGAUGGCUUUGCUAUCACUUAUAGAUGGACCCGCGCCGUAUUAGCUAGUUGGUAAGGUAACGGCUUACCAAGGCAACGAUGCGUAGCCGACCUGAGAGGGUGAUCGGCCACACUGGAACUGAGACACGGUCCAGACUCCUACGGGAGGCAGCAGUAGGGAAUCUUCCGCAAAGGGCGAAAGCCUGACGGAGCAACGCCGCGUGAGUGAUGAAGGUCUUCGGAUCGUAAAACUCUGUUAUUAGGGAAGAACAAACGUGUAAGUAACUGUGCACGUCUUGACGGUACCUAAUCAGAAAGCCACGGCUAACUACGUG
rnacentral:rRNA from 1 species